rnacentral:piRNA from 1 species
UGCUGUCGAGUCAUUAAUAUAUAUUUGUGAA